rnacentral:tRNA from 1 species
AUUUUGGUGGCUGAAACAAAGGCAAUAAAUUGUAAAUUUAUCUAUGGCAUUUACGCCCCUUA